ensembl:lncRNA
GGAGGGGAGGGAACCCACUGCAGGCAGCGAUAAAGUUAGUGAGACAUGAGCAGGCAGCUCAGAAACACUCAGAGGAAAACAGAUCAGCUUGUCUACACUGACAAAAGCCCUGAUGCACGAGCUCUCAUGCAGCGUGUCUUAACAUUUGAUUCCUGUGGUUGGCAUGGUGCAGAAUGUGGUGUCCAACAUGUGUCACGAGUUUUGUGUGUGUGUUACAUGUACCUGCACAGAAGUGAGAAAAGCCCCAUUUGAGUCACAUCUAUUUCUCUGCUUGGAUCUCUUGCAGUGAAGACAAUCUCACGAGGCUCCUCAUCCACGUUUAUUUAGGAUAUUUGAAGUGCAACCAUAAUGAAUCAGACUGCCUGACACAGCCUGUGUGACUUUGUUGCUCGUUUGUGGUUCAACUUACUCCAGUUCCUCUGACCUCUCCAUCUUCAUGUUGAGUUUAUCUUCGUGGAGUUACUUCCUGUCACUUCCUUUCUCAUGUCAUCUGUCUUGUUUCCUGGUCUGCUCUUGUCUGUUUUUUUUAACCUUGCUUUGUCUGUUUUUUCCUUUUUCUCCAGUAUCUUCUUGUUUUCCUAGUUUUGUACCUUUCGUGAAUCAGUUUUUUUAAAAUAAAGCUCGCUUUUUGUUUUGCACUCUACAACCCAAAUCGACUCUCACAAGCACUCGGGCAUGGAUGUGAGUUAGUAUAUAUCAGUUGUAUUUUGGAUUACCUUUUUUCUUUUUUACUCAGAAGCAUUAUUUUAAAGCUCUAGUUACUAGAAUACUAAUAUCUGAUGGUUUAUUAUUAUAGAUAAAGCUAUCAAGGAUUAUAUAAUGUCAUGGGCUGGGUCUGUCACCCAGCAUUUUGAGUUCAUGAUAUAUUGUGUAUUUCUUUUGUUAGUAUGGGGAAAUGUUAGGUUCUUGUUUUGUAUUAUUAGUUAGAACUUGAGGCUUCAUGUUUUGUCAUUUAUCGUUUGGGUUAAGCUCAUCUAGCUCCUGUAAAACCCCCGAGUGGCUCAGCCUUAGUUUUGUUAUUGAUCCCUGCAUUUCCCCUUUUCCGUGGGCUUUGGUCUCACCUGCCAUUUGUUUCAUGUCUCAUGUGUGAAG